UUCACUCAUAACUUGCUUGGUCGCCACCUACUGGUGUAAUGGUGUAACCUACAGAAAGAGCCUUUUUUGGUGAACAGAUUCAAAAGAUUCAAUUCAAUGGGAUGAAUCAAAAUACUGGUAGUGGACACAGUCAAUCAGUUAAUGAAUCUGGUCACGGAUUAAAACGCCUUUGACAUUUAUCAACAUAUCGCUGUAUAACGUGAUAGAAUAAUUUUAUCAAACGAUAUCAGUUUUAUUUAUUAACUAUGUUUGCUGGCAUAAUGGAAUAUGCUCUUGUUUACUUUAAUUUAUGACUCGUGAGUCGUGACUGAAGAAAACAUGACAACGUAACCGUUUGAAACCGGAAUUUGAACUGCAUAAAUAGGACAAAUCUGCCCGGUUCUCCUCCUGGACCCCGUCUCGCACACAAACACUUGGAUCAUGUCCUGUAAUACAGUGAUGCCGUUAUAAAUGGAAACAGAUGCCUCUACCCCUGAGGGGGAUCUCAGGGGCCCACGGCUCUCCGCUCUUGGGAACUACUGUGGGGGAUUGGCCCCCCGCCUCACCCACCAACAACGCUCACCCGAACAGAACACUGUGUGUAGGGCAGAGGCAAGCGGGACGACCUCAGGGCCUCCUAAUAAGCAACAGCAGCCAUGGAGUCGGACAUCUAAAGAGAUCCAGCAACAAUGAUUGUGCAAUGAUAUGGAAAUGACAGCAAAACCUGAGCUCGGUUACCAAACGGCAGCGCUGUGAGGGGAAGCCGUGUCCAAACUCAUUAGGGUUUCUGUAUGUGUCUCUCUUCCCUUUUGCAAGCAUUCCCACUUCUGAUCAGACUGAUUUUUUUUAAUACUUGUGCAUGCGGUGGUUGGAACCUGGCAGGCUUAGUAUAUGUGUUGUGCAACUGGACAGUGAAAAUACCCAAACCCGACUGGGCCCCUUAUCAUGUACAGCACACAAAUUAGGCAAAGCAGCAUCCAUCUGCCACACAAAUAGAGCUCCAACCCGAACCGGCGCUCUGCCAUUGUUCUGGCCGUUCGCCGCCCCUCCCGGAGUAAUUCAUGUGCCCCGCUACUCUGCUCACCCGUCACUGGCUAUUCACUUAAACCUGAAACAUUUCCAUGGGCACAAAGGCUUCAAACAUGGCUGUGACAAAGGAAAGGAUUUCUGCGUUUCUAUUCUUUUCCUCCUCUCUGUAUUUCUCCUUUCUUCAAGACAUUGUGUUGUUUAAUUGGUUGUGCUUGGUAAUUUUGUCUCUUGUCUUCUCCCAUACUGAGUGAUUGUGCGGGGACGGACGUUUGCUUUGACUGGAUCGGACAGUAGUGGGCUCCCUCCCGUAUGCUGGGAGCCAUCUACCUUUGUUAGGUACGCGGAGUUCGGUUCGGGCUCUGUGUGUGGUAAGGUUUGGGAAUCCUGCACGGAUGUCGUGGGAAUGCAGAGGAAACGUCCCUCCUCAUGCCGCUGAAUGAUCGAGAUGACCCCUCUGUGACGUGCUCAAUGAAUUCAUAUCUCCGGUCUUGCUGGUGAUUAAUGAUUCCUGGCGCUUUCAUGCCGAAUCUAUUGAAAAGCCCAGCAGUGAGCCUGUACUGUACAUUUUCUUUGUUGCAGAGACCGUGUGUGUCCUAACAUGUUUUUUUUUUUUUUUUUUUUUUUUUUAAAUGAACUCUAUACUUUGGUGCUGGGCUGCUGGCUGAAAGAACAUCAAGGUUAACAGUCCAUGGAGAGAGUGGAGAGGACGAAGGAGUGUAAGGAAGAAUGAUGGUGGCUUUGUCUGUACAAAAGAGAAGAUAUAUACAUGACAUUAUAAAGUAUAUAACAAAUUGGUUAAAGAAGACAGUGACAGCUGAAGAAACUGCUCUUGUCUGUAUCGUCUUGUACCGAUGACCUUGUCCUGCUCAUCCUUGACUCUGCCCACUCGUCUUGCCAGCCGCUUUUGUUGGAUUUUGAUAGCAGAGAUCGGGAUGGAUGAAUGACGGCCUCCCUAACUCGCCUGUGACUCUUUUGUUUCUGUUCAGAUGAGUUUGAAAAACACACACAGUCCAUUCAGAUACAGGUGUGUGUGUGUGUGUCCUGUGGUGUCAGUCUCUCAGCUGUGAUUACAAUGAGGACUGACCCUGGUGUCGUGGUGAUAGUAGUGCUCUAAUGAACACUAAUGAAUCAGAUGGCUGACAAUGUGAGCACCAGGAAUCUUUUGUGUUCAUGUCACUUCAGUCAUGAUGAAGAGGUGUGUGUGUAUGUGUUGUGUGUGUUGUGCCUGAAGCUAUACAACCAAAUCAAUCUAUCAGCAGAUAAAAGAAUCAUGCAUCACACAGGAGUCCAGGAAUAGAUGCAGAUUUAGAAGAUAAUUUGCUGGGCUAUGCAAAACCUAUGCUAAUUCUCAGUGAUUGCUCUGAUGAGUCAUUUGGGUUUUGUCUUUCUUCUCUUUGUAUGUGGCUCUGCUCUACAUGGGUUUUCUUUGAGUAUUUUGGUAUUCCUUUGUUCAUCCUCAUUGUUGGAUAUAUGUUUCCAUUAGUAAUAACACAGAUUUUUACCUUAGCAAAAGCAGCUUCUCAAAUUAGCUUCAGAAACAAUGCAUUUGUUCGCAAUUACUUAUAUACAGUAUGCAUACACUGGCCUGUUGUGGCUGAUAGACAGAUAUUCAAAUUCUAUUGUAUUUUGUCAAAAUAAAUAAAUAAUAAAAGCACAGAAAACUAAAAUCAGUAAUUUAAAUAAAAGAGCUAAAAAUAAAUCAUAGCAUGCAAUAUUCAUUUGAGAUCUGUUAAAGAUUACAUCUAACAGUGUUAUAAAAUUAUUUAUAUUUUUAAUGUUUAAGAUUAAGGCAUUAGAUGAUGGCAAAGGCAAUCUAAAUGUUAAAACUGGGAAAAUGAGCAUACAAUUAAAUAUCCAAUAACAACUGAUAAAUAUUCAAUGUUGACUGAUACGAUGAAUAAAAAAACACCCUCUAAUAUCAACCGAUAAUAGAUAUGGUACCAAUAAAGUAAAACUAAAAAACUAAAAACUGAAAUCAGUUAUUUUAAAUUCUAUAGUGAAUUUAGGCAAAACAACAUUAUAAUGUGCAUUAUGAAAAAAGGACUGAUUAUUUUAAGAUAUGAAAAUUUGGGAAAUGCACAUUUAAAUGCCGAAUAUCAUCCAAAAGCCCUAAAUAAAAAUAAAUCUGUAAUAUCGCCCAAUAACCAGUCUAUGCUGCACUCAAAGCUGCUGUUGGUUAGGUGGAGAUUUAAUGGAUAAACUUAUUUAAUAAAUAAAAUCGUACAAAUUGUGAAAAUACUUUUUUUGUUGUGAAAGUUAUAAAAGUUGUCAUCUGUGAUAUUUACUUUAAUCACUCUAGUUGUUAUGUGUCAUUAAUGGCUAUUAAUAGGGCUAGAAAAAUAGCUUGACUUGAAUCAUUUACUAAUACAGAUAAUAAUCGAGCUGCUUCUGUUGCAUGAACAGAACAAUUUUGGAGUGAUUAUAUUGUUGUGAAACACUGGCUGAGCAGAUGUACUUAGUAAUGCUCUCAACAGUUUUUUUUUCAGAGGGAAAUAGAGAAGUGAGUGCUUAAAUAAAACCUUCAUCUGAGUUGUGUAGAGGCCUGGAGGUUGACUUUUCGGUGAAUGCAUUCAUCGUUUAUAAUGACACGAUUGGCCUCAUUUGCAUAUUUGAACUGUUUGGUUAGACUGUUGGUUGGCUGGUUAGACAGCACGCGGUUCCUCUGGGUUCUUAUGGAAACAUUUUGGUAAUCUGAGUUAUUUUACCCACCUAACUGAUUUGGUAGAUUUUGGGAUUGUUAUGUAACCAGUAGCACAAUGUUGUAUGAGUAACCGCUGGACGUAUCAUUGUAGCUUAAAGCCAUCUCACACACACAAGCUAAUGAUGUCAGCGCACACCCUACACACUCCCCUCACAGUAUGACUUUCACAUCCAAUGCUGCACUGUGAUUCAACAGAGGAACAAAGAAAUUAAUAAAUGAAACAAACUAAAUAAUGACACUCAUCCUCUCUUUGCGUGAGUGUGUGUUUGUGUGAGUCAGUGUAAUGGUUUAUUUAAUGAGGUUAGAUAAAAGAUGUUAUUUAUAUUGAAGUCAGUAAAGUUUUUUUUUUUUUUAUGUUUUUGAAAGAAGUAUCUUAGGCCCAAAAACACUGUAGCAUAUUUAU